rnacentral:lncRNA from 1 species
GGUGGACCCGCGGUUCGGAGAGGAAUAAGGGUGGUAAAUCGAGCCGAUGUGUUGCUAUACGCGCCCAUUGAUCCCCUCUCCGACCCCCGUUCUACACGUGUUUCGCGGUUAAAGUACUCGCUACGUUUGCAUACUCACUUCGAAAUAUAACUUCUGCUGCGCGCAAACACACGACGACAGGAGGAGAGGUGGAGAUUUGACCAGAAAUCACAGGCUGAAAACUGCGUACACUGCCACGAAACCUCAGUAAAGUUAGCAGUGGGUUCGGUAUUUUGCAUGACUUGGGUGCAGUAGUUUAUUCUGUUCUGCACGGGGGUCAUAAUGUGUCGUUCAUUUGUAAUUAGAUUUUUUUCGUGUGUUCAGUCGCGUGGAUAGGAUGCCGGAAGUAAAAAUGCCAUUAAUAAUCAUAAUAAAAAUAUGCUGGGCGCGACCCGUAUCUCGUAAUAGAUAAGCGAGUUUACGACGUGUGGGGAUGUGGCUCAGUGGUAGAGCGUCUGCUUUGCAUGUGCGAGGUCCCAUCUCCAUGGUGACUACUCGAUCCGCCAAGGUGCCACUGAGCAGAGCUCACUCAGGGUGAUGGGUUAAAAGCAGAGGACACGUUUCAUUGUGUCACCGUGUGCUGUGCUGCAGUGUUACACAGUGACAAUCACUUCACUUUCACUUCACCUACACCCUGCCGACAAUAGGAUGAGGCAAUAUAACUCUCAAAUUAUUGUGUGCUAUCUAAAUUAAAAAUGAGUCAUUAAAAUAAUAAUAAUAAUAUAAAAAAUCUGAGUCAUUUAGCAAUGCAUGUUGAAUGUCUCAGGGUCACAAGAUGGAAGACCUCAUCACCGCCCCCAGACCGUGGUAGAGCCAUGGAACCAGCGGGAGAUGUUGAGAAGGAUGAGCCAACCUCUUCAGCAGACGGGCACAAUGAAGAGUAAGUGCAUGUUGGGGAUUCUCCAACCGGACCGAGCGUUGCAAAACCCGGGACGAUGCGCACGGGCGACAGGCCCUACCUGUGUGAACAGUGUGGGGCGGCGUCUUCAAAGAAGUCGCUUCUUAAAACGCACCCGCGGGUUCCAGUGCGAGCAGCGUGGGGCGGCGUUUUCCCAGUCCACGAACCUCCGAACACACGAGAGGAAACGCGCGGGGGAGAAGCCGUACCGGUGCGACAAAAGCUUCUCGACCUCCACGAACCUCAGAACGCACCCGAAGCCGCACGCCUGCCUCGCUCGGCCCACAACGCUUCAGGACGUCCCCCGGCGAACCCCCCGGCCCCACGUCUGGGAAGGGCUUCAAGACGGCGGCGCAGCACAGGCUUCACCGCUUCACGCACGGCCGGGACGCGGCCUUCAAGCUGCGCGGCCAGAUGGCGAGGCACAUUUCUCAUGCCACAGUUUUGGGUUAAUCUGGUCAUUUUAUUACCCUGAUUUAAAUCGAGAG